AGCAACCCAUGAAGGAGGUGUUACUAUGAGUGGAGGAUUUGGUGGCGGCUUUGCGUUAAUUGUUGUGUUGUUUAUCUUAUUAGUAAUUGUUGGUGCAUCAUGGUUUUAAGUCUAAGAAGACAUAGACGGCGUUAAGGCAAUUUGUCUUAUGCAUUGCUGAAAGGAGGAAAAAAUAUGUCCGGUGGACCAGGCUAUUACGGCGGAGGAUUUGCACUUAUAGUAGUCCUCUUUAUCCUUUUAAUCAUUAUCGGAGCA
rnacentral:sRNA from 1 species